rnacentral:rRNA from 1 species
AGAGUUUGAUCCUGGCUCAGGACGAACGCUGGCGGCGUGCCUAAUACAUGCAAGUAGAGCGCUGAAGAAAGGAGCUUGCUUCUUUUGGAUGAGUUGCGAACGGGUGAGUAACGCGUAGGUAACCUGCCUUGUAGCGGGGGAUAACUAUUGGAAACGAUAGCUAAUACCGCAUAACAGCUUUUGACACAUGUUAGAAGCUUGAAAGAUGCAAUUGCAUCACUACGAGAUGGACCUGCGUUGUAUUAGCUAGUAGGUAGGGUAACGGCCUACCUAGGCGACGAUACAUAGCCGACCUGAGAGGGUGAUCGGCCACACUGGGACUGAGACACGGCCCAGACUCCUACGGGAGGCAGCAGUAGGGAAUCUUCGGCAAUGGGGGCAACCCUGACCGAGCAACGCCGCGUGAGUGAAGAAGGUUUUCGGAUCGUAAAGCUCUGUUGUAAGAGAAGAACGUGUGUGAGAGUGGAAAGUUCACACAGUGACGGUAACUUACCAGAAAGGGACGGCUAACUACGUGCCAGCAGCCGCGGUAAUACGUAGGUCCCGAGCGUUGUCCGGAUUUAUUGGGCGUAAAGCGAGCGCAGGCGGUUUAAUAAGUCUGAAGUUAAAGGCAGUGGCUUAACCAUUGUUCGCUUUGGAAACUGUUAAACUUGGGUGUAGAAGGGGAGAGUGGAAUUCCAUGUGUAGCGGUGAAAUGCGUAGAUAUAUGGAGGAACACCGGUGGCGAAAGCGGCUCUCUGGUCUGUAACUGACGCUGAGCUCGAAAGCGUGGGGAGCAAACAGGAUUAGAUACCCUGUAGUCCACGCCGUAACGAUGAGUGCUAGUGUUAGCCCUUUCCGGGGCUUAGUGCCGCAGCUAACGCAUUAAGCCUCCGCCUGGAGUACGACCGCAAGGUUGAAACUCAAAGGAAUUGACGG